rnacentral:rRNA from 1 species
AUUGAACGCUGGCGGCAGGCUUAACACAUGCAAGUCGAGCGGAGAGAGGUAGCUUGCUACUGAUCUUAGCGGCGGACGGGUGAGUAAUGCUUAGGAAUCUGCCUAUUAGUGGGGGACAACAUUUCGAAAGGAAUGCUAAUACCGCAUACGUCCUACGGGAGAAAGCAGGGGAUCUUCGGACCUUGCGCUAAUAGAUGAGCCUAAGUCGGAUUAGCUAGUUGGUGGGGUAAAGGCCUACCAAGGCGACGAUCUGUAGCGGGUCUGAGAGGAUGGUCCGCCACACUGGGACUGAGACACGGCCCAGACUCCUACGGGAGGCAGCAGUGGGGAAUAUUGGACAAUGGGCGGAAGCCUGAUCCAGCCAUGCCGCGUGUGUGAAGAAGGCCUUAUGGUUGUAAAGCACUUUAAGCGAGGAGGAGGCUACUUUAGUUAAUACCUAGAGAUAGUGGACGUUACUCGCAGAAUAAGCACCGGCUAACUCUGUGCCAGCAGCCGCAGUAA